AAGCACAUUUGAGGAUCUUGAAGACUCUGGAUGCAUCAAGGUUACCGAGGACAGUGUUGAACCACUGAUGUUGGGCUCAAUAGCAUCUCAGUAUUAUCUGAAGUACACCACUGUAUCAAUGUUUGGCUCAAAAAUAGGAUCUGAUACAUCACUUGAGGUUUUCCUACAAAUACUGUCUGGUGCUUCUGAAUAUGAUGAGCUCCCGGUGAGGCAUAAUGAGGAAAACUACAAUGAAAAAUUAGCUGAGAAAGUUCCAUAUGCUGUCGACCACAAUCGCCUGGAUGAUCCUCAUGUGAAAGCAAAUCUGCUCUUUCAGGCUCAUUUUUCCCAAUCAGAGUUGCCAAUCAGCGAUUAUGUCACAGACUUAAAGUCUGUGCUGGAUCAAAGUAUACGUGUUAUCCAGGCUAUGAUAGAUAUUUGUGCCAACAGUGGAUGGCUCUCAAGUACCAUUACCUGUAUGCAUCUGUUGCAAAUGGUCAUGCAGGGCUUGUGGUUUGAUAGA
rnacentral:misc_RNA from 1 species